AUUAGUCUAAAUAAAAAUUUAGUUGAAAAUAAGAUUGUCAGAAUCAGUUUCUGAAAUAUGAAACUUUUUGAACUUAACUUUAAUUGGUUUGCAGUUGAAAGUCAAGUCAUCCUACGAAAUUUUCAUUGUUAUUUGAACUGAAACGAAUGAAAUAGUUAAAAAAUUUAACAAAUAAAUUAUAAAGAAAGUGAAAUUGCCGAAAAAAUACUCGGUUGAUGCGGGAUAGUUUUAAUUCACAAGCGAAAAACAUAAACAUAAAACAUAGUCAAACUAAUCUUGGAAGAUUUUUGCGUCCUUUGUUACAUUUAAUUCUAUGUAUAGAAAUUUUGAUACGAUGUUAGGAGCAAAUACGCAAACUAUUACUUUUAACCCAUAUCCCUUCAAGAGCGCACGAGCGUGCACACCUGAAAUGCACAUGAUCACCCCUAGGGGAUAAUAAACAAACAUUCGGACACUGAACCAAAACAGCUGAAAUAAAUCCAGAGGGAUGAAGGCUUGUCAGCCAAACAUCGGUACACUGUUGGAUUGUACAAAACGAAUGUCGGCCAUAAGAAGAAGGAGAUGGAAAAUUUCGCCUGCGGAGGAGUUUUGUUUCUUCAGUUGGCAAAACUGACGCGUCGGUCGAAGAAGUGCCGCGAUUAAAGCAACCGCGAAAAAAGAAGCCAUCCGUAUUGGCAUCGGGAAAAGGCCAGCCAACAGCCAUACGACAGGGCUACCAAGCCAGCUAACCAGAGCUCAAGGAAGUCCCCGAUGGGACAAGCGCCAAAAGAAACCUCACGGAGACAGGCAGUGCUACCAAGCUAGUCACCCGGGGCUAAAGAAGUUCCCCGACGGGAGAAGGGCAAAUAGGAGCCAUCUGGUAAAAGACAGGCUAACCCGUUGUGCAUCCAGGGCUCGAGCAAAUUCGCCGAGGGGAAAAGGGCUAGUAAGCAGCACACCGAGAAAAAACAAGGCAACCACCCGUGCUACCCAGGGCGCGAGCAAAUUUCCCGGAAGGAAAAGGGCCAAUAAACAUCAUCUGAUAAAAGGUAGCAGUCACACAUUAGCUGCCCAGGGCUCAAGGAAAUUUCCCGAAGGGAAAAGUGCCGAAAAAGCACCACGCGCUAGGAGAUUCUGGCGACGAUAUUCAGGCGCAUUCUGCCAGCAAGAAUACCAGGCACUCGGCGAUCAACAUCAAAAGGGGUCGGAAGUGAGUUGAGGUUAGAUUAUUUCAACAAUUCCUUUUUCUAACCCCACUUUUCCGUCCCAAUAGGACCCCUUUUUUGGACACUGUUGUAACUUUUUUCGACAUCCUCUUUUGGCACCGUUUUUGGCAUUUUUCGGACACCUUUUGGACGCCUCUUUGGCACAUUUUUUGGCACUUGUUGAACAAUUUUCGACACAUUUUUGGACACUUUUGUUGACACCUUUUGGCACCCUCUGGUGACACAUCGGCUCCGGGUUCAGCACUUGGUGCGCUAUCCUCUUCGCCAGUCGGGGGAGCGUUUUUUGGCCAGAAAGCCACUGCCGGAAAACAUCAAGUUUUGCCGCCUAUGCAGUUGUGCUCGCGGUGCUCAUUGCACCCAAGGCGUCGAGAAGCGCCAAGGUUCCCCAAGGGAAGGUACGCGCGAGACGAGCGAGUGGCGUCGAGGGAUCAGCGGAAGGCGUUCCCGGUUGCAACCGGGGAAAAACAUCCUUGGUCAUCGGAUGACCACAAAGAAGCAGCAUUUCUUCCGGAGAACCACCGGAACAACGGGAUCCAGCAGGAGGAUCUGCGUGUUCAGCGGCCCAAGCCGGAACGCGCAGGGUCGCGUGUCAGCGAACCACGAGUUGCGCAAAUUGGUCAUCGGUACGGCAUCGGACUGCCUUCAGAUGGCAGGGCAUUCGGAGAUGUGCUCCGAGAAAAGGUUCCCGGAAGUCGGGUCAGCAGCAUGCGGAAAGGAAACAAUGUAAGUCGCUCUUGAAACUUUAUAUUUUGAGGGAAAUAAAAUGGGUUUUCCGAAUUUAGCAACACAUUAAUGUUGCCAUAAUGUUAUGUUUGCGUUUAUUAUUUGUGGCACAAAGCCAUUAAUCAUUCGUCACACCUUUACUCGAUUUUUUGUCAGAUUUUGUGUAAUACUUGUAGUUUUGUGGCGUUUAGUAAUUUUAAACCGAAGCUGUAUAGAGUUAAAU